AGCAGCCGCGGUAAUUCCAGCUCCAAUAGCGUAUAUUAAAGUUGUUGUGGUUAAAAAGCUCGUAGUUGAACCUUGGGCCUGGCUGGCCGGUCCGCCUCACCGCGUGUACUGGUCCGGCCGGGCCUUUCCCUCUGUGGAACCCCAUGCCCUUCACUGGGUGUCAUGGGGAAUCAGGACUGUUACUUUGAAAAAAU
rnacentral:rRNA from 1 species